GCUGGGGCACCCUAAAUAGUCUGAGACCCCUGAAGGGGGCACAAGAGGAGGAAGGACAUGGACCAGUGUUUUCUUUCUUGAAGCUACUGUUACCACCCCUGGAAAAGUUCUUCAGGAAUAAGUGACAGUAAGAACGACAAGGGAUUAGGACUGGUUUCCUCUUAUAAAUAAUAAAAUCCAAAGGGAAGCCACUUGAGGUGAGUGGCAGAGCUACGCCUUGCACCCCGACCUUCCGUUGCUAGCUCCAGCUGCUUUCCAAAAUACCACCUUGACUUCUCAGCCUCCAGGUUUAAAGAAGAGCAACUAGAAGACGUCCAAACACCUGCAUCUCAUAAGGAGAAGAAAAGUCCACCUGGAUCUUGUUUCUGGACUGAGAUGGAUGGAGAGGCCACAGUGAAGCCCGGAGAACAAAAGGAAGUGGUGAGGAGAGGAACAGAAGUGGACUACUCCAGGCUCAUUGCUGGCACUUUACCACAAUCUCACGUUGCCAACAGGAGGGCAGGAUGGAAAAUGCCCCUCUUCCUCAUACUAUGCCUGCUACAAGGUUCUUCUUUCGCCCUUCCACAAAAAAGACCCCAUCCGAGAUGGCUGUGGGAGGGCUCUCUCCCCUCCAGGACCCAUCUCCGGGCCAUGGGAACACUCACGCCUUCCUCGCCCCUUUGCUGGCAGGAGGAGAGCUCCUUUGCAGCUCCAAAUGCAUUGAAGGGCUCAAGGCUGGUGUCAGGGGAGCCUGGAGGAGCUGUCACCAUCCAGUGCCAUUAUGCCCCCUCAUCUGUCAACAGGCACCAGAGGAAGUACUGGUGCCGUCUGGGGCCCCCAAGAUGGAUCUGCCAGACCAUUGUGUCCACCAACCACUACACUCACCAUCGCUAUCGUGACCGUGUG
rnacentral:sRNA from 1 species